AAGUAACAGAAAGAACAAAGGAAUAUGUGGGCACAUUACUUUGUCAGUUAAUAUUUUAUAAUUAAAUAUAUUUUUGAAAAAAAAAAAAACAAUUUUUAUAAAAUUAUUUGCAAGUUUUCCGUCACAAAUGGCAAUGCUCUCAUUUUCCGUUAUGUUAUUUUAGUUUCUCUGUGUUCUCAUUAACGAGAGUUGCCAAAUUGCAUUUAAAGUUGUUCUUGAUUUGUUUUGCAUGGAAAUUGUUUAAUAUUGCAAAAAACAAAAAUGCAGAUGUAUUAUAUUGGUGCAAAUUUCCAUAAACAUGGGUGUUAUUAAAGACUAGGAUGAUCACAAUGGGCCAAUAGGUCUCCGAGUGGAGUGGUUGUUGUUUUUUUACGCAACCACACAUCCUUUAACCUAACCUAACCUACCAUGAUACUGGACGUCAAGAAAGUGGACGGAAGGAAACAGCAACAUCAGCAGAAAUGGUAAAGAAGCGACUUGAUCGAAGCCCGUGUCGCAGUGGCCGAAAAAUGGCUC